CACUAAGCCACAUUCCCAGUCCACAUUUAUUAUUUUUAUGUGGCAAAAACAUUCAAAUAUAUUAUGAUUAUCUACAAUUACUGUACUAUGUAAUAGAACACUAACACUGUCUUUUUAAGUAGGGAUUCCUAAGCAUUUUCUUAGUAAAAUUUUAGUAGCCUUCCUUUCCAUAUUAGAAAUUUAAAUAUAUGAGAUUCCUACUGCUUCUGCUACUGUGGUUUCUGAAGAGGUAUAAACAUAAAAUAAUUAUCUGGAAUGACUUUCUAGCGUUGUAGUUGACUUAGGUACCUUGAUGGAUUCCUUUUUUAGAAAGCAUACAUUCUACAUUCUUCUAGGUAUUCAAACACACAGGUAGCUAUCUGUGCUUUGCUACCUAAUUUUUAGAGGCACUGCAAAAUCUGCUCUACCAGAUGAGGUUAUAUUUACAAUCUUGUUUGUUAGCCUUUUAAAACUUGGUGAGCAAAGGAUUGCCACAGAAUAUUUUUAUUCAUUUAUGAGAGUUAAAUUAAUGAAGAUGUUCUGAGUGGGAUGUCUGUAUGUGUAUGUGUGUUUCCACCAAAAUAAAGUAGGUAACUGAAGAGGAUUAGGUGCCAUGUGAUAUAAUAGAGUCAAGAAUCUGAGUUCUGUUCUCUCUUGCAUUAACUUGCUACUUGAUCUUGUCAAGCUACUUAGCUCUUUUGAUGGCAAAAUAUUUAUAUGUUGAACAUAUUGAAUAUAUGUUAAAUAAAAUUAAGGCACUUUAAAUUUUAAGUCAUGUUGGUUGUUUGUUUUUGGUUAUGGGGUUUGAACUUGGCCCUGGCUUGCUUCCUCAACUGAUGCCAUUAAUAUUUGAGCCACCCCUCCAAGCCCUGUUUUUUGUUAUUUUGGAGAUGGCAUCUAGCAGACUUUGAUGUUCAGGCUGGCUUUGGAUUGUUAUCCUUCAUAUCUCAACCUCCUGAGCCAGGAUUAUGCACAUGAAUGACCAGCACCAGGCUUUAAUUUUUAUAUACCAUUCUACAAGUAACUUAUUUGUGGAUGGCUUGUAUAAAAUCAUAAACCUGGUAUCAUAUUAUUCUCACAAGGGUCAAGAGCUUGAAGUGAAGAUAACAGCCUUCAGUCCCUUUACAGGGCAGUUUUGAAAGUACUUUUUGGCAUCAUGAACCAUUUGUCCUGUAUUAAUUCAAUAGUUUAUCACUUUAGUAUGUCUGUCUCUUUCGUUUUUUGUUUGUUUUUUU